rnacentral:rRNA from 1 species
CACGUAAGGGGCAAGCGUUGUUCGGAUUCAUUGGGCGUAAAGGGCGUGUAGGCGGAGUGACAAGUCUGGUGUGAAAUAAUUCGGCUCAACCGGGUGAACGCAUUGGAAACUGUCAAUCUAGAGUAUAGGAAGGGAAGUUAGAAUUCCAGGUGUAGGGGUGAAAUCUGUAGAUAUCUGGAAGAAUACCGGUGGCGAAGGCGAGCUUCUGGCCAUAUACUGACGCUGAUACGCGAAAGCGUGGGUAGCAAACAGGAUUAGAUACCCUGGUAGUCCACGCUGUAAACGAUGUGCACUAGGUGUUGGGGAGAUAUCCUCGGUGCCGAAGCAAACGCGAUAAGUGCACCGCCUGGGGAGUAUGCUCGCAAGGGUGAA